rnacentral:misc_RNA from 1 species
AACGCACAUUGCGCCCCCCGGCAUUCCGAGGGGCAUGCCUGUUCGAGCGUCAUUACGCCUCCUCAAGCCUUGCUUGACGUUGAAUGAUCGUUCCCCCCGGAACGCAUUCGAAAAUCAGCGGCGGUGCGGCUGACCCUCAAGCGUAGUAGUGUUUCUGUUCGCUUCGACGGGUGCAGCCGGGCCGGCCGAACAACCCCCCCAUUUUUCACGAUUGACCUCGGAUCAGGUAGGAAUACCCGCUGAACUUAA